ensembl:lncRNA
CUGGCGAUGAGGGAAGAUCGCGGCGAGAAGCCCAAAAUUCACGCUGCUUUUGAAUCCUUCGCCACAUCUCUCGGUUAAACCGAGGCGAGCGCCACAAGCACCGAGCUGGUUUCACGGUCUCUUCGUGAGCACUUCCUGUUAAAAGGCAUAGAAAAGGCGUCCGGGCCGUUUAGGUAAGUGAGGUAAGGCAGGCGGCGCAGCACCAUGCGAUUAACAAAGGCGCUACUGGCGAGCGAGGGGCAUUAAAGGGGGCACCACGAAACGCCAUGCAAGGCUACGGGCAACUCCGGAAACUUUGCAGGCUGUGCAAGUAUAUGAAAGUCCCGAUUUACUGUAGCACAGGGUCUGUUAUCUCCCAACUGCGACCAGUGCUUAUCUGGCAUUGCCUUGCAAAGUAGGGUCUACCGUUAGGUUUCAUAUUUGCGUGCGGCUAAUGAUAGCUAAUGGUCACUCAUCUGCAGCCUUCGGUGGAUUGGGACACGCUGUGGCGUGUGUUUUUAGGCCUACAAAAGCGAUGAGCGCGACAGCCCGUGUUCAAAGCGGGGCAGGGUGUGCUUAAUUAAGGCCACUUUAUCGUGCUUUCGCGAGUACGGGAACGUUUUGCAUAAUCUCAACCUGUCAGCAUAGGAAGAAGGGCUGUGUAAUGCUCAUAACCCGUCUCAUGCCCUACUGUCCCGUAUCCGCCUUCACCACCGCACAGUUUUGCGCUUAAGCCACUAAAUCAGGUUACUAACGGGAGAUCCUUGUGUCUAUCUGGAGGUCAGACAGGUCAGUACUGAGGGCUGUGUUUUGUGCCCAACUUUGGACGUGAAGUCGCAAAAAGACACAGACCUACCGCUCAUUUCCCCAAACACUUCGGGGACGAGACAUCUCACUCCGAGUCAUCUCAGGUCCGAGUCUUCUCGCACUGAGUCAUCUCAGGCCCGAAUCAUCUCACUCCGAGUCGUCUCAGGUUUGAGUCAUCUCACUGCGAGCCAUCUCAGGUCCGAGUCAUCUCAGUUCCGCAUCAUCUCAGUUCCACGUCAUCUCAGGUCCGACUCAUCUCACUCCGACUCAUCUCAGGUCAGACUCAUCUCACUCCGAGUCAUCUCAGGUCCGAAUCAUCUCACUCCGAGGCGUCUCAGGUCCAAGUCAUCUCAGGUCCGAAUCAUGUCACUCCGACUCAUUUCAGGUCAGACUCAUCUCACUCCGAGUCAUCUCAGGUCCGAAUAAUCUCACUCCAAGGCGUCUCAUGUCCGAGUCAUCUCAUGUCCGAGUCAUCUCAGGUCCAAGUCAUCUCAGUUCCAUGUCAUCUCACUCCGAGUAAUCUCAGGUCCGAGUCAUCUCAGGUCCGACUCACCUCACUCCGAGUCAUCUCAGGUCAGACUCAUCUCAGUCCGAGUCAUCUCAGGUCCGAGUGUGCUGUAGUGAGCUACAGACUGGUCAAACACUCUCAGAUCAGAAGUGGAAAAGGUCGGAGUCUUAAAACGCAACUUUCUCAUCUCUGCCGUUAUUAAACCUGUGUGUUUAGCAGUACAUUUUACUGCCUGUAUUAUAAAGUGCACUUAUAGACUGUUUGCACAAUUAUGUCUCAGCUAUAUGUGUAUUAUGUAUCUGCUAUAGUUUCGGUGGAAUGCAAUUCCUCGCACUCUGUGUUUAAUAUAUAUAUUUGUUUAAGUCGGAAGUCUCUCUUGAACUGUGCGUAUUCACAUACAGCCUGUUUUUUCUGUGGCUGGGGUCACACAUUUGUGUUUGUGAGCUUAGGGAAGAUAAAUAGCUCAUCGUCUAAAAGAACUCACACUGUCUGUCAUUUCAGCUAGCUAGCACUGCAAUGCUUCCCAUAUUGAUAUAUUUUGUUUACACGCAUUUGUUGAAACACACAUAUACACCACCAAUUAUACAGCGGGCAUAUGCAGAUGUUUAUAGCAUGUGUUUAUUUAGUUCAUUCACACCGAUCAUAGUGUUCAAAUAUUUUGGUGUUCAAGGUGUCUCAAUUUUGGGAAGUCUGUCCUUGGCACAUCAGACCCCUGACUGAUUAUUAUGUACAUAGUCAUUUGCUUGUCAUCAGGAAUAUGUCAGUGCUGAACACAACCACUGGAGGUUCUAGGGCUAAUUCCUGACACAUGCUGUGGUCUGUUAUUGUGGAUUUUAAAGAAGAAAGGUUUAUACGUUAUGAGUAUGGCUUGGUGGCACAGCAGGUAGUGCUGCCAUUUCACAGCUCCAUGGUCUCUGGUUUGACCAUGAGCUUGGGUUACUGUCUAUAUGCAGUUUUGCAGGUUCUCCCUGUAUUUGUGUUGUUUCCUCCCACCUCUCAAAAACAUGCUAGUUGGUGG